CACGUAGGGCGCGAGCGUUGUCCGGAAUUAUUGGGCGUAAAGAGCUCGUAGGCGGCCUGUUGCGUCCGCUGUGAAAGCCCGGGGCUUAACCCCGGGUCUGCAGUGGAUACGGGCAGGCUAGAGGUAGGUAGGGGAGAAUGGAAUUCCCGGUGUAGCGGUGAAAUGCGCAGAUAUCGGGAGGAGCACCGGUGGCGAAGGCGGUUCUCUGGGCCUUACCUGACGCUGAGGAGCGAAAGCGUGGGGAGCGAACAGG
rnacentral:rRNA from 1 species